rnacentral:rRNA from 1 species
UACGUAGGGUGCAAGCGUUAAUCGGAAUUACUGGGCGUAAAGCGUGCGCAGGCGGUUUUGUAAGUCUGUCGUGAAAUCCCCGGGCUUAACCUGGGAAUUGCGAUGGAGACUGCAAGGCUGGAGUCUGGCAGAGGGGGGGUAGAAUUCCACGUGUAGCAGUGAAAUGCGUAGAGAUGUGGAGGAACACCGAUGGCGAAGGCAGCCCCCUGGGUCAAGACUGACGCUCAUGCACGAAAGCGUGGGGAGCAAACGAGG